rfam:Pelodiscus sinensis unplaced genomic scaffold scaffold286, whole genome shotgun sequence.
GGAUGGAGAGCUCAGUGGUUUGAGCAUUGGUCUGCUAAACCAAGGGUUGUGAGUUCAAUCCU